UAUCGAUACAAUAACAAUACAGUCGUGUAUAAUGUGAUUUACUUGCCUUUGACCUGUCAAUUCCUGACGCAUGCAAAUUCAAGGGCGCGAUCUUUCCUUCUGCUACCGGAGGGAGGUGGAGGGGAGGGGUGAUUGUGGGGGGAACAAAAGCCCGAGCAGAUGCAUUAUCACACGGAGGCUAAACAAGACUUUCCAGAAUUCAGUGCUGCACUCCAUCAAGCAAGAUGAGAGCGCUUUGCUUUAAAAAAUUUUAAAGGGGGGGGGUUACGCUAUCUCGUCCAUAAUAGUAUGUUAAUUCUGCCAGCUUGCUUACAGUAGAUGUAACUACACCCCACUCCAAAUACUGUCCAAUUUCUCAUAUUCUUACCAAACAUCUAAUCUCUCGUGGUUUUGAACACCGAGUUUAAAAUCAGUUUUCGAGGAAGCAAGCUCAUUUCCUCCUAAUUUUUAUUUGAGCCUGACAAUCAGGUAGCGAAUCAAAGAGAUAAAAAGAAGUUGAAGAGCAGUGGUUAUCCCGAUAGCGAUCUCCGCCUCGCCGUGCCUCCCGAUUAAAAAGCUGAUUCACGGGCUCGGCAGUCCCAGCGCUCCCCUGCAUUGGCAGAGCCACAGCGCGUUUUCACGGCUCCCUUUGUGCACUGAAGCGUUUCCAUCCACCAACUUGGAAAGCUGACAUUUUUCUUCGUGUAGGGUAUCCGUCACCGAUCCCACGUCACUUUCAGCUGUCCGAAGUUGCCGGGCAGGCUGGAAUCUUAAGCGCACCAACAGGUUGGCAGGCUCAUCGUUCUGCUUGUAUGGAGCUUGGCAGUGUCAUGAAGGCUGCUGAUGAAGUAUAUUGUGCAGUGCUAGACUUCAAGAAAAAUGUGGAGUCAGAAUGCAGCAAGUCUGAUCAGAGGUCCAAAAACCUGCUACGUACACUGAUAUACGAGUGAAGAUUGAAAGCAGUGCUCUUACUUAAGCUGGAGAGAAGGAACUGUUCUUUAAGGGUAUAAAAGCUAAAUGCAAAGAUGAGAGGAUUAAAUUGUGAUUGUGGGGAUAAACAAGAGGUAAUGAGCUUAACAUGUGAAUUCCAGUUAAAUCCUGGGAAAAACCAAGUUUCAAAUAGUGAGUAUAGAUGUGCAGAGCCUGCCUCUGCCUGGAGAAGGAUGAGGGAUGUUAAAAACAGGUGAGACAAACUUGUCAAGAGUGUCAAAGCCCUAGGACAGGAGUUUCCUUCUGCCUCUCUUUGUAUGGAUAUUUGACAUGGGAAGAGUCAGUGUUAACUUUGCUCUUCACGUAGUCCUCUCCACUCCUCAGAGCCCACAGAUCCUGGUUCACAGCCCGCAAACUCGCUGUUCCUCUCCUACCCACACGUGUCAUCA
rnacentral:lncRNA from 1 species